rnacentral:misc_RNA from 1 species
GCAAGCCCGAGCCCACACCUGGCGAAAAACCCGAUUACUCUCGCCCUCUCGUCCCCGUCCACCGCAGCGCUCCCGCCGGUGGCGCAGUGGGCGGCGGCGCAGUGAAACAUCAUCCUGCCGCCCGGCGGUGGGAUGGGGACCGGGAGAGCCUGCCGGGAACGGAGAUGGAGCUGGUGGCGGAGGGAGGGAAUGAGGGGACAUUGGAAUCGUGGGAAACGGGGGAGAUGUGAGAAAUCGGUGCGGAUUAGGGGGCGAAUUGGGGAUGGGAGGAACGGGGUGGCUUGGAACAGCGGCAUGGUUAGGGUUUUGGAGAGAAGCCCUAG